GAUGAAGAACGCAGCGAAAUGCGAUAAGUAAUGUGAAUUGCAGAAUUCAGUGAAUCAUCGAAUCUUUGAACGCACCUUGCGCCCUUUGGCCAUUCCGAAGGGCAUGCCUGUUCGAGCGUCAUUAUCACCCCUCAAGCCCUCGGCUUGGUGUUGGACGGUUUGGUGGAGACCCCCUUCGCGGGCUUCUACCCCUCCCAAAGACAAUGACGGCGGCCUCGUUGGACCCCCGGUACACUGAGUUCUUCACGGGACACGUAUCGGACACACGGGUUUACGGGACACGGUCUGCCUCCCCUCAGGGAGAAUCUUCUUAUCAAGGUUGACCUCGGAUCAGGUAGGGAUACCCGCUGAACUUAAGCAUAUCAAUAAGCGGAGGA
rnacentral:misc_RNA from 1 species